rnacentral:sRNA from 1 species
UUGUGCUUCGAAAACAUUGUGAGCACG